rnacentral:rRNA from 1 species
AGUGAACGCUGGCGGUAGGCCUAACACAUGCAAGUCGAACGGCAGCACAGUAAGAGCUUGCUCUUACGGGUGGCGAGUGGCGGACGGGUGAGGAAUACAUCGGAAUCUACUUUUUCGUGGGGGAUAACGUAGGGAAACUUACGCUAAUACCGCAUACGACCUACGGGUGAAAGCAGGGGAUCUUCGGACCUUGCGCGAUUGAAUGAGCCGAUGUCGGAUUAGCUAGUUGGCGGGGUAAAGGCCCACCAAGGCGACGAUCCGUAGCUGGUCUGAGAGGAGGAGCAGGAGCACUGGAACUGAGACACGGUGGAGAGCAGGACGGGAGCAAGCAGCGGGGAAGGGUGGAGGAGGGGCGCAAGCCGGAUCCAGCUAUGGCGCGUGUGGGAAGAAGGUCGUAGGAUUGUAAAGCAUUUUAAGUGGGGAGGAAGGGGUGGAGAUGAAUACGCGGCAGUGGGGACGUGACCGAAAGAAUAAGCAACGGCUAACUCUGUG